rnacentral:rRNA from 1 species
GUGCCAGCAGCCGCGGUAAUACGUAGGGUGCGAGCGUUGUCCGGAAUUACUGGGCGUAAAGAGCUCGUAGGUGGUUUGUCGCGUUGUUCGUGAAAACUCACAGCUUAACUGUGGGCGUGCGGGCGAUACGGGCAGACUAGAGUACUGCAGGGGAGACUGGAAUUCCUGGUGUAGCGGUGGAAUGCGCAGAUAUCAGGAGGAACACCGGUGGCGAAGGCGGGUCUCUGGGCAGUAACUGACGCUGAGGAGCGAAAGCGUGGGGAGCGAACAGGAUUAGAUACCCUGGUAGUCCACGCCGUAAACGGUGGGUACUAGGUGUGGGUUCCUUCCUUGGGAUCCGUGCCGUAGCUAACGCAUUAAGUACCCCGCCUGGGGAGUACGGCCGCAAGGCUAAAACUCAAAGGAAUUGACGGGGGCCCGCACAAGCGGCGGAGCAUGUGGAUUAAUUCGAUGCAACGCGAAGAACCUUACCUGGGUUUGACAUGCACGGACGCCGGCAGAGAUGUCGU